GCGUAAGCGUGUUCAGAUAUUUUUACACUAAAGUUAAAACUUAACUAAGCCGUAAAAAGCUACAGUUAUCAUAAAAUAAACCACGAAAGUGACUUUAUAAUAAUCUGACUACACGAUAGCUAAGACCCAAACUGGGAUUAGAUACCCCACAA
rnacentral:rRNA from 1 species